CUAAACAGGAUUCCCUUAGUAAUGGCGAAUGAACAGGGAUGAGCUCAGCAUGGAAAUCGGGGUCUCCCGACCUUGAAUUGUAGUCUGUAGAUGUACUGCCAACGGAGGCGCAGAUGUAAGCCUCUUGGAAAAGAGCAUCAACGAGGGUGAGAGUCCCGUUUGUCAUCUGCAGUCCCCCGUGCACGGUGUGCCUUCUAAGAGUCACGUUCCUCGGGAUUGGAGCGCAAAGUGGGUGGUAAAUUUCAUCUAAAGCUAAAUAUUGGUUCGAGACCGAUAGCAAACAAGUACCAUGAGGGAAAGGUGAAAAGGACUUUGAAAAGAGAGUUAAAAGUGCCUGAAAUUGCUGAAAGGGAAGCGAAUGGAACCAGUGUUCUUGAUGAGAUUGUUGCGUACUCUGGUGAUUGCUGGGUGUUCCACCGCAAGGGGGGCAUUUAGUUUUGAGCUAGAUGUGCGUGGUGUUUCUUGUCUUGUGUGUCACCGUCGGUGCACGAGCGAGUAAACCUCCAGGGGGCUGGUAGCUCGACCAUGGUUGAGUGAAUACCUUUGGCAGUACUCAUUUGUGUAUCGAUCCCUGCGUGUCUGGUUGCAGUGUUUGGGUCGCCUGGAAACUUCUGAGGGGCUUGUCCUUGAAGGAGUCCUUCUGGGCGCCCUGAGCAUCUCCCUGACACAAAGACGAU
rnacentral:rRNA from 1 species